rnacentral:rRNA from 1 species
UUUUUUAUGGAGAGUUUGAUCCUGGCUCAGAGUGAACGCUGGCGGCGUGCCUAACACAUGCAAGUCGAACGAGAACGGCCCCUAGCUUGCUAGGGGUGUCAGCUAAGUGGCGCACGGGUGAGUAAUGUAUAGCUAACCUGCCCUAUAGCGGGGGAUAACAGCUGGAAACGG